rnacentral:rRNA from 1 species
UACAGAGGUCCCGAGCGUUGUUCGGAUUCACUGGGCGUAAAGGGUGCGUAGGUGGUGAGGUAAGUCGGAUGUGAAAUCUCCGGGCUUAACCCGGAAAUGGCAUUGGAAACUACCUUGCUAGAGGAUUUGAGGGGGGAUUGGAAUACUUGGUGUAGCAGUGAAAUGCGUAGAUAUCGUAAGGAACGCCAGUGGCGAAAGCGAGUCUCUGGGCAGCAUCUGACACUGAGGCACGAAGGCCAGGGGAGCAAACGGG